AUGCAAGUCGAACGGACCGUUUUCCGAUCGAGAUGCGAUUACAUCAAGUCAAGUGAGGUUUACGGUUAGUGGCGAACGAGUUCAGUAAUACCUUGGUACCUACCCUGAAGUCGGGCACAACGAGCCGAAAGGCUCGCUAAUUCCCGAUAGUCUCGCAAGAGUAAAGGCGCAAGCCGCUUCGGGAGGGGCCUCGGUCCUAUCAGCUUGUUGGUGAGGUAACGGCUCACCAAGGCUACGACGGGUAGGGGGCGUGAGAGCGUGAUCCCCAACGAUGUUACUGAGACACGGAACAUACACCUACGGGUGGCUGCAGUCGAGAAUAUUGGACAAUGGACGAAAGUCUGAUCCAGCGACGCCGCGUGCAGGAAGAAGGUCUUCGGAUUGUAAACUGCUUUUGCUCGGGAAGAAUUUUGACGGUACCGAGCGAAUAAGGGGCUGCAAACUCUGUGCCAGCAGCAGCGGUAAUACAGAGGCCCCGAGCGUUAUCCGGAUUUACUGGGCGUAAAGAGCGAGUAGCCGGCAUUGGUAGUCUGAUGUUAAAUCUCAUCGCUCAACGGUGAGACCGCAUUAGAAACGCCAAAGCUAGAGCGGGUCAGAGGCAUGCGGAACGUGUGGUGUAGGGGUGAAAUCCGCUGAUAUCACACGGAACACCAAAAGCGAAGGCAGCAUGCUGGGGCUUUGCUGACGGUCAGUCGCGAAAGCGUGGGGAUCAAAAAGGAUUAGAUACCCUUGUAGUCCACGCCCUAAACGAUGCAGAUUGGCUAUCGGGAGCAUCGACCCUCCCGGUGGCGUAGCUAACGCGUUAAAUCUGCCGCCUGGGAAGUACGAUCGCAAGAUUAAAACUCAAAGGAAUAGGCGGGGACUCGCACAAGCAGUGGAUCAUGUGGUUCAAUUCGACACUAAGCGAAAAACCUCACCAGGACUUGAAAUGCUAUUGAAAGCUUUGGGAAACCAGAGCCCCCGCAAGGCAGUAGCACAGGUGUUGCACGGCUGUCGUCAGCUCGUCAUGUGAAUGGUUCCCUUAAGUGGGGAAACGAGCGCAACCCCCGUUGUGUGUUAUACGUGUCACACGAGACUGCCUGGGUAACCAGGAGGAAGGAGGGGAUGAUGUCAAGUCAGCGUGGCCCUUUGAUGUCCUGGGCUACACACAUGAUACAAUGGCGGUUAACAAUGGGUUGCCAAACCGUAAGGUGGAGCUAAUCCCAUCAAACACCGCCCCAGUUCAGAUUGGAGGCUGCAACUUGCCUCCAUGAAGCCGGAAUUGCUAGUAAUCGCAGGAUCAGCACGCUGCGGUGAAUACGUUCUCGAGUCUUGCACUCACCGCCCGUCAACUCAGGGGAGCCGGGAAUACCCGAAGGUCCAUGAUAACCUGUGGAACUACGGUAGGCUCGGUGACAAAGAGU
rnacentral:rRNA from 1 species